GUGUGUCAGAGAGAGAACAACUGAGCGUGCGCGUGUUGGGUUUUGGUAAAUAGCCUAGACUAUCUGCAAACUUAGAAUCUUCUUGCCUCAGCCUUUCCGGUUCCAGAAUUAGGCAUAUUUCACCACAAUUGGCUUGGCUUGGUCUUUAUUAAUGAAGCAGGGUGUUUACAGGUUUUAAAUUAGGAGUCAGAGCCGACAGUGCUAUGCUUUAUAGCAUUUCUGUAGCUUUCACCCAUGAGUGUGAGUUUUGGAACUCUGGAGUUAGAUAAACCAUUCCCUUAGGUAAGAACACCAGACAAGAACACACAUGCCAAGUUUUUGUUAAAGGCGAGCGGUUUGAAUAUGGCUUCCUGGCCUUGUGAUGCAUUUGUUCCAAGAUAGGUCAACACCAGGAAGCAGAGCUGUACACCUUUUUCUUAGUAGAGAAAUAAUGGGAUGAUAAGAAAAAGACAGGACAUUGCAGUCUCCUGGUAGGUGGGCUACCGUUUGAAUAGCUAAUAAUGGGCAGUGUCUCGGCUGCCAGUGUCUUUACUGCCAACUGUAUGUGAGGUCCCUUGCCGUUUUACGUUUUCAGUAGUAACAGUACUGGAUAAUGAAACUUGCUCGCCCUUGGGGAAAGGCACAGGUCUUUUUGGACUUCUUGCAGGUAGUGUCUUAGAGGCCUGGCUUAGGCAAGCAUGCUUGCUUUAUUUGCUGGAUUUAUUUGCUUUCCAGAGUGGCUCUGGAUUGGGAUUGGGGUGUCAACAGGAUACUUGCCCAAAUCGGUUGUUUUGUUUGCUCCUAUAUGUCCUGACAUAUUAAUGUCUGGAUUCAGUUGUAUUCCAUUUUGAAUAUUUUAAGACUCUGUAGUUUCCUUUCUGCUUCAUGAUGAGAAUCAUUUGGGAUCAGAGGGAAGUAAUUGUCUUGUCGUGCCCUUUCUACGUGUUUUUAAAGUUUCUGGUGAUUUAGUUGGCUUUGGGAACCAAUGUUUAAACCAACUUCUUUUUCUUUUAUUAAAUGUGUUAUUUUGAUAAUUUCA
rnacentral:lncRNA from 1 species